GCCGCCGCGCAGCACGGCUCAGACCGAGGCGCACAGGCUCGCAGCUCCGCGGCGCCUAGCGCUCCGGUCCCCGCCGCGACGCGCCACCGUCCCUGCCGGCGCCUCCGCGCGCUUCGAAAUGAGGGUCCUGGGUGGGCGCUGCGGGGCGCUGCUGGCGUGUCUCCUCCUAGUGCUUCCCGUCUCAGAGGCAAACUUUUUGUCAAAGCAACAGGCUUCACAAGUCCUGGUUAGGAAGCGUCGUGCAAAUUCUUUACUUGAAGAAACCAAACAGGGUAAUCUUGAAAGAGAAUGCAUCGAAGAACUGUGCAAUAAAGAAGAAGCCAGGGAGGUCUUUGAAAAUGACCCGGAAACGAUUAUGUUUGUUUUUAUUUUCAGUUUGUCUUCGCUCUUUUCAAACUGGGUUAUUCACUGCUGCACGUCAGUCAACUAAUGCUUAUCCUGACCUAAGAAGCUGUGUCAAUGCCAUUCCAGACCAGUGUAGUCCUCUGCCAUGCAAUGAAGAUGGAUAUAUGAGCUGCAAAGAUGGAAAAGCUUCUUUUACUUGCACUUGUAAACCAGGUUGGCAAGGAGAAAAGUGUGAAUUUGACAUAAAUGAAUGCAAAGAUCCCUCAAAUAUAAAUGGAGGUUGCAGUCAAAUUUGUGAUAAUACACCUGGAAGUUACCACUGUUCCUGUAAAAAUGGUUUUGUUAUGCUUUCAAAUAAGAAAGAUUGUAAAGAUGUGGAUGAAUGCUCUUUGAAGCCAAGCAUUUGUGGCACAGCUGUGUGCAAGAACAUCCCAGGAGAUUUUGAAUGUGAAUGCCCCGAAGGCUACAGAUAUAAUCUCAAAUCAAAGUCUUGUGAAGAUAUAGAUGAAUGCUCUGAGAACAUGUGUGCUCAGCUUUGUGUCAAUUACCCUGGAGGUUACACUUGCUAUUGUGAUGGGAAGAAAGGAUUCAAACUUGCCCAAGAUCAGAAGAGUUGUGAGGUUGUUUCAGUGUGCCUUCCCUUGAACCUUGACACAAAGUAUGAAUUACUUUA
rnacentral:lncRNA from 1 species